rnacentral:rRNA from 1 species
CCUACGGGCGGCAGCAGUGGGGAAUAUUGGUCAAUGGGGGGAACCCUGAUCCAGCGACGCCGCGUGAGUGAAGAAGGAUCUCGGUAUGUAAAGCUCCAUUAGCAGGGAAGAAAAUGACGGUACCUGUCUAUGAAGCCCCGGCUAACUCCGUGCCAGCAGCCGCGGUAAUACGGAGGGGGCCAGCGUUAUCCGGAUUUAUUGGGUGUAAAGGGGGCGUAGGCGGUGAAGCAAGUCUGAUGUGAAAGGUCGGGGCCCAACCCCGGGACUGCAUGGGAAACUGUUGAACUGGAGUGCAGGAGAGGUAGGCGGAAUGCAUGGUGUAGCGGUGAAAUGCUUAGAUAUUA